AACGAACGCUGGCGGCAGGCCUAACACAUGCAAGUCGAGCGAGACCUUCGGGUCUAGCGGCGGACGGGUGAGUAACGCGUGGGAACGUGCCCUUUUCUACGGAAUAGCCUCGGGAAACUGAGCGUAAUACCGUAUACGCCCUUUGGGGGAAAGAUUUAUCGGAGAAGGAUCGGCCCGCGUUGGAUUAGGUAGUUGGUGGGGUAAUGGCCUACCAAGCCUACGAUCCAUAGCUGGUUUGGGAGGAUGAUCAGCCACACUGGGACUGAGACACGGCCCAGACUCCUGGGGGGGGGGGCAGUGGGGAAUUUUAAACAAUGGGGGGGCCCCGAAUUUCGCCUGGCCGGGAAGUUGUUUAAGGCGUUAGGAUUUGAAGGCUUUUUAGACCGGGAGGUUAAUAAGGGACCCAGCAAAAAAGCCCCGGCCAACCUCGGG
rnacentral:rRNA from 1 species